rnacentral:rRNA from 1 species
CAGCCGCCACGGGAAUACGUAGGUGGCAAGCGUUGUCCGGAAUUAUUGGGCGUAAAGGGCUCGCAGGCGGUUUCUUAAGUCUGAUGUGAAAGCCCCCGGCUCAACCGGGGAGGGUCAUUGGAAACUGGGAAACUUGAGUGCAGAAGAGGAGAGUGGAAUUCCACGUGUAGCGGUGAAAUGCGUAGAGAUGUGGAGGAACACCAGUGGCGAAGGCGACUCUCUGGUCUGUAACUGACGCUGAGGAGCGAAAGCGUGGGGAGCAAAUGGGAUUAGAUACCCCGGUAGUCCCUGUCUCUUAUAC